rfam:Stegodyphus mimosarum contig114367, whole genome shotgun sequence.
GUCAGGGUGGCCGAGCGGUCUAAGGCGCCAGAUUUAAGCUCUGGUUCUCGAAAGAGAGCGUGGGUUCGAACCCCACUCCUGACA